CCUACGGGUGGCUGCAGUGGGGAAUAUUGGGCAAUGGGGGCAACCCUGAUCCAGCCAUGCCGCGUGUGUGAAGAAGGCCCUCGGGUUGUAAAGCACUUUCAGUGAGGAAGAACGCCUGGUGGUUAAUACCCAUCAGGAAAGACAUCACUCACAGAAGAAGCACCGGCUAACUCCGUGCCAGCAGCCGCGGUAAUACGGAGGGUGCGAGCGUUAAUCGGAAUUACUGGGCGUAAAGCGCGCGUAGGUGGCUUGAUAAGCCGGUUGUGAAAGCCCCGGGCUCAACCUGGGAACGGCAUCCGGAACUGUCAAGCUAGAGUGCAGGAGAGGAAGGUAGAAUUCCCGGUGUAGCGGUGAAAUGCGUAGAGAUCGGGAGGAAUACCAGUGGCGAAGGCGGCCUUCUGGACUGACACUGACACUGAGGUGCGAAAGCGUGGGUAGCAAACAGGAUUAGAUACCCUUGUAGUC
rnacentral:rRNA from 1 species